GAUGAACGCUGGCGGCGUGCCUAAUACAUGCAAGUCGAGCGAACAGAUGAGGAGCUUGCUCCUCUGACGUUAGCGGCGGACGGGUGAGUAACACGUGGAUAACCUACCUAUAAGACUGGGAUAACUUCGGGAAACCGGAGCUAAUACCGGAUAAUAUAUUGAACCGCAUGGUUCAAUAGUGAAAGACGGUUUUGCUGUCACUUAUAGAUGGAUCCGCGCCGCAUUAGCUAGUUGGUAAGGUAACGGCUUACCAAGGCAACGAUGCGUAGCCGACCUGAGAGGGUGAUCGGCCACACUGGAACUGAGACACGGUCCAGACUCCUACGGGAGGCAGCAGUAGGGAAUCUUCCGCAAUGGGCGAAAGCUUGACGGAGCAACGCCGCGUGAGUGAUGAAGGUCUUCGGAUCGUAAAACUCUGUUAUUAGGGAAGAACAAAAGUGUAAGUAACUAUGCACGUCUUGACGGUACCUAAUCAGAAAGCCACGGCUAACUACGUG
rnacentral:rRNA from 1 species